rnacentral:rRNA from 1 species
AUUAGUGGCGAACGGGUGAGUAACACGUGAGUAACCUGCCCCUGACUCUGGGAUAAGCGUUGGAAACGACGUCUAAUACUGGAUAUGACUGCUGGCCGCAUGGUCUGGUGGUGGAAAGAUUUUUUGGUUGGGGAUGGACUCGCGGCCUAUCAGCUUGUUGGUGAGGUAAUGGCUCACCAAGGCGACGACGGGUAGCCGGCCUGAGAGGGUGACCGGCCACACUGGGACUGAGACACGGCCCAGACUCCUACGGGAGGCAGCAGUGGGGAAUAUUGCACAAUGGGCGAAAGCCUGAUGCAGCAACGCCGCGUGAGGGAUGACGGCCUUCGGGUUGUAAACCUCUUUUAGUAGGGAAGAAGCGAAAGUGACGGUACCUGCAGAAAAAGCACCGGCUAACUACGUGCCAGCAGCCGCGGUAAUACGUAGGGUGCAAGCGUUGUCCGGAAUUAUUGGGCGUAAAGAGCUCGUAGGCGGUUUGUCGCGUCUGCUGUGAAAUCCCGAGGCUCAACCUCGGGCUUGCAGUGGGUACGGGCAGACUAGAGUGCGGUAGGGGAGAUUGGAAUUCCUGGUGUAGCGGUGGAAUGCGCAGAUAUCAGGAGGAACACCGAUGGCGAAGGCAG